UUUUGAAAGAUACUUUACAUACACUGCACUGAUGAGGUUUCACUUCACUGUGGUUCAGCAUAUGAUCUUUUAGGUGAUGUAAUCUUUUGAAAGAUACUUUACACACACUGCACUGGUGAGGUGUCUCUUCACUGUGUGCAGCAUGCUCAGUUUCUAUAUAAUUGAAUUCUUCACAAGGAGGUUGCUCAUAAGAACAAGUAGCAUCUUGAGAAUGGUGCUCUAGUUUCACACCAUUCUCGUGAAUCCAGUCUGGCAUCCAAAUAUGUGCAGAAUGCACAGGUUUUAUGUCAUGCAGGUGUUGACUAGGAGUGUCCUCAGUUUUAAUCAAACAAGAAGCAUCUUGAGAAUGGUACUCCAGUUUCACACCACCUUCCUGAAUCCAGUCUGGCUUUCAAAUGUGUGCAGUAUGCUCAGGUUUUAUGUCAUGGAGAUGUUGACUAGGAAUAAACUUAGUUUUAAUCAAACAAGUAGCAUCUUGAGAAAGGUACUUUAGUUUCACAUCAUCAGGUAGGUCUUCUUGUGGAUAAACCACAGAGUUUAAUUCACUCUUUAUAAAGGCUUCCUGUUCUCCUAAGGUUACCCUCAAUUGUUCUUUGUCAGUUGUUAAAGUACUUUUAGAUGUAAACUGCACACAAUGUUUAAGCUUACUCAUCUUUGGUGUCAUAUCAGUAAGAACCUGAAACAAUCCAACGUGACAAUUUAUUAAUUUUUUCUUACUUAAAAUAAAAUUGAAUAUUAAAAAA